rnacentral:lncRNA from 1 species
CCUAAAGGAAAGUUGGUUUGUGACUUCAAAGCCACACCACACCACACCAACAUUGAAUUGAAUAGAAUAAUAUUUGUACUUUAUUUUCUUGUUCUAGCCAAGGGACCAUGGAGUCCUCUUAAAUUAAUCAGCUUGAUCUAGGCUUUAUAUAAUAUAAUUAAAAUAAUAGUAUUUUGUGUUUCUAAACAAUUACUUGUCUCAAUUUUAUAAAUUUUAGAUUUGAUAUUUCAAUUU